AGCACGUGGUUAAUUCGAUGCAAACCGAAGAACCUUACCUGGGUUUGACAUGUGCGUGUUACUGAGGUGAAAGCCGAGGGACCAUAUCUUCGGAUGUGGAGCGUACACAGGUGCUGCAUGGCUGUCGUCAGCUCGUGUCGUGAGAUGUUGGGUUAAGUCCCGCAACGAGCGCAACCCUUAUCAUUAGUUGCUACGCAAGGGCACUCUAAUGAGACUGCCGGUGACAAACCGGAGGAAGGUGGGGAUGACGUCAAGUCCUCAUGGCCCUUAUGGGUAGGGCUUCACACGUCAUACAAUGGUCGGUACAGAGGGUUGCCAAGCCGCGAGGCGGAGCCAAUCCCACAAAGCCGAUCGUAGUCCGGAUUGUUCUCUGCAACUCGAGAGCAUGAAGUCGGAAUCGCUAGUAAUCGCAGGUCAGCAUACUGCGGUGAAUACGUUCCCGGGUCUU
rnacentral:rRNA from 1 species